GACGUAGGGGGCCAGCGUUGCUCGGAAUAACUGGGCGUAAAGGGUUCGUAGGCGGUGCGGCAAGUUGGGAGUGAAAUCUCUGGGCUUAACUCAGAGACUGCUUUCAAAACUGCCGUGCUAGAGUGUGAGAGAGGCUCGUGGAAUUGCAGGUGUAGCGGUGAAAUGCGUAGAUAUCCGUAGGAACAUCCGAGGCGAAGGCGGCUCACUGGACCACAACUGACGCUGAGGCACGAAAGCUAGGGGAGCAAACAGG
rnacentral:rRNA from 1 species